UACGUAGGGUGCAAGCGUUAAUCGGAAUUACUGGGCGUAAAGCGUGCGCAGGCGGUGAUGUAAGACAGAUGUGAAAGCCCCGGGCUCAACCUGGGAAUUGCAUUUGAGACUGCGUAGCUAGGGUGCGGAAGAGGGAAGCGGAAUUUCCGGUGUAGCGGUGAAAUGCGUAGAUAUCGGAAGGAACACCAGUGGCGAAAGCGGCUUCCUGGUCCAGCACCGACGUUCAGGCACGAAAGCGUGGGGAGCAAACAGG
rnacentral:rRNA from 1 species